rnacentral:rRNA from 1 species
UUGGGUCUAAGCGUCCGUAGCCGGCCGGAAAAGUUCUCCGUUAAAUCCAACGAUCCAAUCGUUGGGCUGCGGGGAAUACUCUUCGGCUUGGGGGCGAGGGAGGUCGGCGGUAGUCUCGGGGUGGGGGCGAAAUCCUAUAAUCCCGAGAGGACCACCAGUGGCGAAGGCGGCCGACUAAAGCGCGCCCGACGGUGAGGGACGAAAGCUGGGGGAGCGAACGGGAUUAGAUACCCCGGUAGUCCCAGCUGUAAACGAUGCAGGCUAGGUGUUGGGACGGCCACGAGCUGUCCCAGUGCCGCAGGGAAGCCAUUAAGCCUGCCACCUGGGGAGUACGGUCGCAAGGCUGAAUUCUCUUGGAGCGUUUGCUCGAGAGACA